CUGUACGGCUCGGUCGGGCUCGAUUCCUUCCUUCUGCGGGUAACGUUCUACAAAGAUUUCUCAACAAUUACACUUUACAAUCAGAGCCGGCAAACUGUAGUGGAGAGAUCGAUGCAGUGGAGGGGAUAACGCUAGCAACCAGGAAAGUAGGGGCAAGGGUCCGCCAGUUAGCCAACUAUGCUUUACAUUAUAAAACGUAUCUGUCAGAGGAAAAAAAAAAAUUAUCUAACAAAGAAUACAAUUUAUGAAAAAAAAAAACUAACGAAAGAAAAAAUUAUCUCCAAAAUAUAAAAUAAAUCGAAACUUGCUCUAAUUUCUCUCACCUUACGUUACGUUAAAAAUAUCUGUCUGCUAAAUACAAUGAGUAAUAUAAUAUACAAAAAUUAGUAAUCAAUAUAAAAACAAACUAAGAAAAAAAAAAUUAUCUCAAAAAUAUAAAAUAAAACGAAACUUGCUCUAAUUUCUUUCAUCUCACGUUACGUUAAAAAUAUCUGUCUGCUAAAUACAAAGAGUAAUAUAAUAUACAAAAAUUAGUAAUCAAUAUAAAAACAAACUAAGAAAAAAAAAAUUAUCUCAAAAAUAUAAAAUAAAACGAAACUUGCUCUAAUUUCUCUUACCUUACGUUACGUUAAAAAUAUCUAUCUGCUAAAUACAAAGAGUAAUAUAAUAUACAAAAAUUAGUAAUCAAUAUAAAAACAAACUGAGAAAAAGAAAAGUUAUCUCAAAAAUAUAAAAUAAAACGAAACUUGAUUUAAUUUCUCUCACCUUGCAUUACGUUAGAAACAUCUGUCUGCUAAAUACAGAGAGUCAUCAGUCUUACUAAGAAAAGAAAAAAAAAAAAAAAAAAAAACUAUCCCAAAGAUAUUUAAA